CCGCCUCUCUCAUCCCUCCAUCACCAUUCACACGCGAGCGAAAGCGUUAGCUGCCCUCUCUCUCCUACCGGCGGUUUCCCGACUCGAGGAGGGCUAGCAGGUUAGUAUUUUGCAUCCUCUCCCAGUAGCACGAGCUCGAUAGCCGGAUCCGGUCACCAUCGUCGGAAGGCCUCGGAUCCAUGUUUUUCUCGGCGGAGACGGAGCGGAAGCAACCGGAGACAGCGACGACGCUGCCGCAGGAGCCGAACGGAGUGGCUGCACAGGGAAAUACCUGCGGAAGCUUCUCGCUUCCAACCAUGAAGACGUGGGGUAGCCUGCAGGUGCUACGCUCCGUGAGCGUGAACGGCAAGGACGAGGCGGACGGCAGCGGCGGUGGCGACAGCGCUGGCGGACAGCGUCUCUCAGAUACGGAGGGGAUCAGGGCUGGUGAUCCAGAGGGAGGCAGUGGCGACAGCAGCGCGGUUGAAGAGGUGAGGGAGAAGCUGUUGGUUCACCUCCGGGAAGCGGCGGAACGAAUCAAGCUGAUAGUUCAUGAAUCGCCACCGCUGCCGCCGUCUCCAUCCAAAGGCGACGAGUCCAGGGCGGAUGCGGUUCGGACGGAGGGGACCGAAGCGGAGCCGUCGUCAUCCGCUCCCACGUGGCCGUGGAAGCUGCGGACGAGGCGAAGGGGGGCUAGGGUUCGGGCGAUGUUCGAGCCGCAAGCGAGCGGAUCGCUCCCUGCUGCCGGCGAGAAAAAAGCGGCGCGGCCGAGGUCAGGCAUCCCUGAGCUGCGCGAGCGGCCCGAUUUCUCGGUAACCCUUACAAGGGAGGAGAUCGACGAGGACAUCUACGCGGUGACGGGUUACAGAGCACGCCGCCGGCCUCGGAGGCGACCCCGUGUCGUCCAAAAGCAGCUCGAUCUGCUGUUCCCUGGUUCAUGGCUGUCGGAGAUCACCUACGAAUCCUACAAGGUUACGGAUUAGAAGCACGGCCGUCGGAAGCGGCGGCGGCUCAAUACAUCCGCCAAUCCGCGAAAGAAGCCAUAUAUCUUCUAACCUGCUUUCGCCAUUGAUAAAGCUUCUCCUAAUCUAUCGAGGAGCAAAAAAUUACAGGACAUCAUUAGUAUUUGAAGCAGAACAAGGAACUAGUAGCUCAUCCAGCUCAUUUGGUCUCUUUCUAACAUCGCGUCCUGUCAAACAAACUCCUAACCUAAAGCUGUUUUAG